AGAGGACUGGAAUGGUGUGUGGAUACUAACCUUGACUGGUCGCAAAUGGUAUCUGGAGCCUCCUGGUAAGUGUAGAGAGUCUGUCUUAAAUGUUGUCUUUGAGGAAGAAUCCUGGGGGUUUAAGACAGAUGUUUGAUGUGUUAAUACGUAUCGUGAUGUCGUAUGAAUAGUAUAGGGAGAAGGUUUGUAAGGGGCACGACGUGAGAUCCUGCAUUGAGGGAUCUGGGAGGUUUAGG